ensembl:lncRNA
GAAAGAGAGCAAUGGAACAAACCAUUGCUUCCCAGUGGCGGUAGUGGUAAAGAAACCGCCUGCCAAUACAGGAGAUUAUUCUUGCCUGCAGAAUCCCAUGGACAGAGGAGCCUGGCGGGCUACCGCCCGUAGGGGUCGCAAAGAAUCAGCCACGACUGAGCAACUACGCAUGCGUGAUCUCAGAAACUUGGUUUCCUGGAAACUGCUGCUUUUCUAAGAGGCCGCGGUGGUGCGGUGCGGUGCACGGGAGGGAGGAGAAAGCAAAUAGCAGUACCAAGUCCAUUUGCUGAUCUGGCCUAGUUAGAGCUGAGAGUCGGAGAGGAGAGAGCUCGGGUUCCUUCAAAAGCAGUCCCUGGAGUGGCCCAGCCUACACCCCACUGUCACCUUCCAGCGGACCCCCAACCCCCAAGGUCAGCUCCAGGGGUGAACUCUGAUACCUUGAGAAGAUGACAGAUGUGAAAAGCGGGAUAAUCUUCUUCGUGGCAAAGGGUUCUCUGUCUGCGGGUUUAACGGCCAUAGGGUCUGCGGUGUGGCCUGCUGCGCUAGUAGUGGUCGCUGGGAUGGCCUUGUACGCCUGGAAGAAGAGCACUGAAAGACCAUGCCCUAAGAGGUCCUAGGUGGACAUCAGGUAAAAAUGAACAAGAACCCUAAAAUGUAUUGAAAGGAAUCCUCUCCCAGUCCCCUGCAGACUGGAGAGUCCACCUUCCUGGGGUCAGGAAUUCUUUGAAGCAACAUUUUAUCUUUGGGGUUUGAACAAAAUCAACUUGUGGGCAAAAAAAUAAAUUCAUUGAAUGUGCCUGACUCUAUUACAGAACUGGUGUCUGAAUCACAGGAUUCAGGGUCCUUGGA